rnacentral:rRNA from 1 species
UACGUAGGUGGCGAGCGUUGUCCGGAUUUACUGGGCGUAAAGAGCGCGCAGGCGGCUGGUCAAGUCCGAUGUGAAAGCUCCCGGCUUAACUGGGAAAUUGCAUCGGAAACUGAUCGGCUGGAAGGUGGGAGAGGGUAGCGGAAUUCCCGGUGUAGUGGUGAAAUGCGUAGAUAUCGGGAGGAACACCAGUGGCGAAAGCGGCUUUCUGGUCUGUAACUGACGCUGAGGCGCGAAAGCGUGGGGAGCAAACAGG